rnacentral:rRNA from 1 species
UACGUAGGGACCAAGCGUUGUUCGGAUUUACUGGGCGUAAAGGGCGCGUAGGCGGCGUGACAAGUCACUUGUGAAAUCUCUGAGCUUAACUCAGAACGGCCAAGUGAUACUGUUGUGCUAGAGUGCAGAAAGGGCAAUCGGAAUUCUUGGUGUAGCGGUGAAAUGCGUAGAUAUCAAGAGGAACACCUGAGGUGAAGACGGGUUGCUGGGCUGACACUGACGCUGAGGCGCGAAAGCUAGGGUAGCAAACGGG